ACAAUAAUUACAGUGAUUAUAAUAAUGUACUUGCCACUGAUACAACAACAACAACAAACCCAGUGUAUUCCCACCUAGUGGAGUCUGGGGGGUAAGAUGUAUACAGUCCAUACCUCUACCUCUGAAGAAGUAGAAAAGUUGUUUCCGAUAGACCCCCGGCUCAAGACACGAGAUACCACACAAACGCAUAGUACCUCUACCUCUGAAGAAGUAGAAAGGUUGUUUUCGAUAGACCCUCGGCUCAAGACACGAGAUACCACACAAACACAUAGUAAAGCACAGCACAAGAUUACAUAACAUAAAUACGGCACCCAUAAGUAAUAUAAAACAGAGGAA
rnacentral:lncRNA from 1 species